AUGUGCGUUCCAAAGAAGAAGGGUGGAAUGGGGUUUAGGGACCUUCACAGCUUCAACCUUGCUAUAUUAGCAAAGCAGUGUUGGCGACUUCUCCAUCCUGAAUCUUUAUGUGCGCGAGUCCUAGGAGCCAAGUAUUUUCCGGAUGGUGACAUACUUUCAGCUGGUCCAAAGAAAGGGUCCUCUUUUACUUGGCAAAGUAUUGUCGCGGGUAUUCAAACUUUCAAGAGAGGGUGUAUAUGGCGAGUUGGUUCAGGCUCAAAUAUCAAAAUUUGGGAAGACCCUUGGAUUCCAUCUAGUGAAACAAGAAGGGUCAUUACCAACAGAGGAGUAACUAUGUUGUCCAAGGUGGAAGAACUUAUUGACCCUCACGCGGGACAGUGGGACGAGGAGCUUAUUCAUGAUGUGUGCCUGUUGAUGCGAACAGGAUUUUGCAAAUCCCACUUCAUGUUGAGGCUGUAG
rnacentral:rRNA from 1 species